AGGGGAAAGGUUCCAUGU
rnacentral:snRNA from 1 species